rnacentral:rRNA from 1 species
CCUACGGGUGGCAGCAGUGGGGAAUAUUGGACAAUGGGGGGAACCCUGAUCCAGCCAUGCCGCGUGUGUGAAGAAGGCCCUCGGGUUGUAAAGCACUUUCAGUGAGGAAGAACGCCUGGUGGUUAAUACCCAUCAGGAAAGACAUCACUCACAGAAGAAGCACCGGCUAACUCCGUGCCAGCAGCCGCGGUAAUACGGAGGGUGCGAGCGUUAAUCGGAAUUACUGGGCGUAAAGCGCGCGUAGGUGGCUUGAUAAGCCGGUUGUGAAAGCCCCGGGCUCAACCUGGGAACGGCAUCCGGAACUGUCAAGCUAGAGUGCAGGAGAGGAAGGUAGAAUUCCCGGUGUAGCGGUGAAAUGCGUAGAGAUCGGGAGGAAUACCAGUGGCGAAGGCGGCCUUCUGGACUGAAACUGACACUGAGGUGCGAAAGCGUGGGUAGCAAACAGGAUUAGAUACCCUAGUAGUC